rnacentral:misc_RNA from 1 species
GAUGAAGAACGCAGCGAAAUGCGAUAAGUAAUGUGAAUUGCAGAAUUCAGUGAAUCAUCGAAUCUUUGAACGCACAUUGCGCCCGCCAGUAUUCUGGCGGGCAUGCCUGUUCGAGCGUCAUUUCAACCAUCAAGCCCCCGGCUUGUGUUGGGGACCUGCGGCUGCCGCAGGCCCUGAAAAGCAGUGGCGGGCUCGCUGUCACACCGAGCGUAGUAGCAUACAUCUCGCUCUGGGCGUGCUGCGGGUUCCGGCCGUUAAACCACCUUCAUAACCCAAGGUUGACCUCGCAUCAGGUAGGAAGACCCGCUGAACUUAAGCAUAUCAAUAAGCGGAGGA